rnacentral:pre_miRNA from 1 species
UUUUGCAAUAUGUUCCUGAAUAUUUAAUAUAAGUAUAUUGGGAACAUUUUGCAUCCAU